UCUGCCUCCUUUCCCUGCCCCGCUCCAGUGCCAGAGCUCCAAAAAUUCCCAUUUCAUGGAAUCUGCCUCCUUUCCCUGCCCUGCUCCAGUGCCAGAGCUCCGAAAAUUCACAUUUCAUGGAAUGUGCCUCCUUUCCCUGCCCUGCUCCUCCGGCUUUUUUGGGGUUAUUUUAAAGAAAGCCCUUGUAAACGGGGUUAUUUGAAAGCACCGAGAAGCGUCCCCCUUUUCCAGCUUUUGGCACAAACACCACAAAACCGGGCAGCAAAUCCCACCAAAAAAUCCCAACACGAGGAUUUUCCCCUUCCUAUUUUCCCUUCCUAUUUUCCCCCUCCUGUUUUCCCCUCCUAUUUUCCCCCUCCUGUUUUCCCCUCCUAUUUUCCCUUCCUAUUUUCCCCCUCCUAUUUUCCCCUCCUGUUUUCCCCUCCUAUUUUCCUCUCCUAUUUUCCCCACCUGUUUUCCCCUUCUAUUUUCCCCCUCCUGUUUUCCUCUCCUAUUUUCCCCUCCUGUUUUCCCCUCCUAUUUUCCCCUUCCUAUUUUCCCCUCCUAUUUUCCCCUCCUAUUUUCCCCUCCUGUUUUCCCCUCCUGUUUUCCCCCUCCUGUUUUCCCCUCCUGUUUUCCCCUCCUGUUUUCCCCUCCUGUUUCCCUCUCCUAUUUUCCCUCUCCUAUUUUCCCCUCCUAUUUUCCCCUUCCUAUUUUCCCCUCCUAUUUUCCCCUUCCUAUUUUCCCCUCCUAUUUUCCCCUCCUAUUUUCCCCCUCCUAUUUUCCCCUCCUAUUUUCCCCUCCUAUUUUCCCCUCCUGUUUCCCCCUCCUAUUUUCCCUCUCCUAUUUUCCCCUCCUAUUUUCCCCUUCCUAUUUUCCCCACCUGUUUUCCCCUCCUAUUUUCCCCUCCUGUUUUCCUCUCCUAUUUUCCCCUCCUGUUUUCCCUCUCCUAUUUUCCCCCCAUCUCUGCUUCCCCAAACUCAGGGAUCACCAGGCAGGGAAAUCCCCAGCGCUGGAGCAUCUCCCCAUCCCAACCUCCAUCCCAGCUUUGUGCCAAGCGAAUUCCAAUCAUCUUUCGGCUGCUCUGUACCCAAAUCCUGCUCUUUUCACC
rnacentral:lncRNA from 1 species